AAGCACGGCGAUUGCUCCAGUAAUGGCGAAUGAAAUGGCAUCCCAUGGCUCUCCCUGAAGUGAGUUUCCCUGUUGUUUGAAGGGCCCACCCUGCCAAAGGGUUAGGGUUGCGAUCGGCUAUCGUUGGAUCUCGGCAAAUGCUGUGGGCUAUGGAGCCGUUGGCUGUGCCAUCGGCGGUUGAGGCACCAGGAAACGCCCUGGAAUGGGCUACCACAGAGGGCUAUCGUCCCCUACACAGAGCAGAAGUGCCUCGACCGUCGGUGGUGUGGCCGGCGACAUCCCUGAGUAGAGUGGCUUGGGACUGCAGUUUGAAGUGUGAGGUGUAUCCAUCACAAGGAGGAAUACAGACCUGGGACCGAUAGAGCACAAGUAGAGCGAUCGAAUGAUGCAAAGGACUUUGCAAAGAGGGUUAAACGUCCCUGAAGCCUCGGCAGGAACGGCGGUGAGUGGUGCUGUGGGAAACACCUAGUCAGGCAGUCUCCAAACCCUCUGGUCCCCAGUGAGUGGUGGACUGGAUUGUGAGGGGCUGACUGGGUCACUAUCGGCUCUUCCAAGCGACCUUGGGCCAGCCCCAGGCUGGCCACUGAGCCCCUGCCCCUUGGGGUGGGGAUGCAGUCCUGGUAGCCCUUGGGGUGGCACCCUGCUCGUCAGGGCCCCAAGGCUCCGUCGUUGAAUGUGCGUUGAAUCUCCAGACCAGAGGGGUGAGCUCGGCGUGUCGUCCCCACUCAGGGC
rnacentral:rRNA from 1 species